rnacentral:rRNA from 1 species
CUCAAGUCAUGUGAGAGUACCCGCUGAACUUAAGCAUAUCAAUAAGCGGAGGAAAAGAAACUAACAAGGAUUCCCCUAGUAACGGCGAGUGAAGCGGGAAGAGCACAAAUUUAAAAUCUACCUGGUUUCCAGGUCGAGUUGUAAUUUGAAGAUACGUUUUUGAUGUUCCUGGUUGGACUAAAUCCUUUGGGAUAAGGUAUCAUAGAGGGUGAGAAUCCCGUGUACACCAACCAUAGGGAUGUUAUUUAAUAACGCUUCUAAGAGUCGAGUUGUUUGGGAAUGCAGCUCUAAAUGGGUGGUAGAUUUCACCUAAUGCUAAAUAUAAGCGAGAGACCGAUAGCGAACAAGUACAGUGAUGGAAAGAUGAAAAGAACUUUGAAAAGAGAGUUAAAUAGUACGUGAAAUUGUUGAAAGGGAAACGAUUGAAGUCAGUCAUGCUGGCGGGAAUCAACUUAGGGGAAACUCUGGGUGCACUUCUUCGUUUGGCAGGUUAGCGUCGAUUUUGGAUGUCAUAAAAUGAUUGGGGGAAGGUAGCUCCUUCGGGAGUGUUAUAGCCCUUGGUAGAUGUGAUGUCUGGGAUCGAGGAUUGCAACGGAUACCCUUCGGGGCUAGUCGCCUGAUCUCUAAUUGGUGUUGGGUUACGGACAGCAUGCUGACCGUGAUCUAAUUACUGGUUAAAAGGUUAGAGCGUGCAUAAAUUCGUUAAGGACGCUGACGUAAUGGCUUUAAACGACCCGUCUUGAAACACGGACCAAGGAGUCUAACAUGUAUGCGAGUGUUAAGGG